AAUGAACGUUGGCGGCGUGGAUUAGGCAUGCAAGUCGUACGGGCCGCAAGGCCAGUGGCGCAAGGGUGAGUAAGGCGACGGUAACCAACCCCAGGAUUGGGAAUAGCCGCGGGAAACCGCGGGUAAUCCCCAGCGACGUCCCCGGAGGGCAUCCCCCGGGGACCAAAGCUCCGGCGUCGUGGGACGGGCCGUCGUGGUAUUAGGUCGUUGGCGGGGUAACGGCCCACCAAGCCGGCGAUGCCUACCGGGCGUGCGAGCGUGGCCCGGCACACAGGGACUGAGACACUGCCCAGACUCCUACGGGAGGCUGCAGUCGAGAAUCUUCGGCAAUGGGCGCAAGCCUGACCGAGCGACGCCGCGUGGAGGACGAAGGCCUUCGGGUUGUAAACUCCUGUCGAGGGGGAAGAAGGCGCAAGCUUGACUGAACCCUGGAGGAAGCACGGGCUAAGUUCGUGCCAGCAGCCGCCGGGUAAAAC
rnacentral:rRNA from 1 species